rnacentral:rRNA from 1 species
UACGAAGGGUGCAAGCGUUACUCGGAAUUACUGGGCGUAAAGCGUGCGUAGGCGGUUUGUUAAGUCUGAUGUGAAAUCCCCGGGCUCAACCUGGGACCUGCAUUGGAAACUGGCGAGCUAGAGUACGGUAGAGGGUGGUGGAAUUCCCGGUGUAGCAGUGAAAUGCGUAGAGAUCGGGAGGAACACCGAUGGCGAAGGCACUCUGCUGGGCCGACACUGACACUGAGAGACGAAAGCUAGGGGAGCAAAUGGG